GUCGAAAAUAAACCAAACCGUAAAGUAAAGUCCGAAAACAGAUUUACGGUCCCAAAAGUCCAGAUAUUACGUUAAUACAUUAAUAGUCUAGUUUUAUUAACCAAAAAAUCAAUCCGAGCUCCCGUGCGCCGCUUGAUCCUAAGUUUGUUGAUUACUUGAGAAGUUAGAAAAUUUGAGUGGGGUUAUAAAGUUCAGUGUGUAACUCAGCCCAUACAAACAAAACAAAUAGCAUUAUCACACGGAAGUUUGGAAACGAACAAAAUACACAGCAUGACAUACAAUACAAUGCAACAUAGUUAUCAAAUCAGAUACGGAUGGCAUGUCAUAUCAUGCAAUGCAACACUUAUUACAGAACAAAUAUAGAUCCUACCUCCAUCUGUUACGCACUAUCUCCAUCCAUCCCUACACACCAAAUAGGGUAAUAAAUACUUAUCCAACCCCACACACCAAUAAGUGAGCUUAUGUCACUAUACAAAAUAGUGUAGUCAAAGCUGCCAAAAAAUAAAGCGAUAGAAUCAGAUAAGUGUGGUCAAGCCACCACAACAGAUAUGUUGUUUAAAACCAUUAGAUAAAGUAGAUCAUUAAACUGCCAACACUUCCUCCAUCACAUUAUUAUCCCACCUCAAUGCAUAAGCAACCACUAUCCAAAUAUCUAGAUGCACACAAAUCAUACAUGCUUUACACAUCAGAACAUGCUAACAUGCUUUCAGAAUACAAAAGUAGAAUAUCAAAUUUCGUAUAUACAAGCUAUACAUAUCACAUAAUAGACCCUACGAAGUAGCUAGCAUCAAAACACACUUCAAUCACGGCCCUAACUAAAACUUACGGAUAAUGGGCCUACACGCCCGUGUGGUCGACACAGCCUACUUGACCCAAAUCGUGUGGCGCCAAUAGAAUGUUUUUCCGUAUAGCGCUACUCGCUAUUUUUCAGGACAGAAGGUACAAACCUGAUUGUUUCACGAGGCCCACACAACAUCGAGAAUUCUAGAACCUAAAAUGACAUUCAGAACGAGCGAAUAAUCAGUGAUAUGCUAAAUUUCCAAGUCACUAACUCGGUUGCAAGUGCUAAACGUUUGACCUAACAAAAGGAAUCAGCCCUUAAUCGAAAGCAUUAAUCACUUACCCAACAGAGCAGUAGCCCAACAAAUCCUCUAAUUCGCUGGAUGUAAGUUGUGUGCUUCUUGCACCUCACCAAAACAGAACCAACAAUUAAUCCAUCAAACCCACAUCCGUAAAAUCCGAAUUAAAACUAUCCAACCAGAUUAAAACAACUUUCUUACAAAAACAAACAAAUAGCUUACAGAAACUUAUGACAACCCCACGAAACCUCUGAAACACCACCAACACACUAAGAAAAGGCAACCAACGACAAUACUAGCAAGUCACUACGUCUAAACGGAAGCAACAUUGAAUAGAAAAUUGGCUAAAGAGGGCUGUAAAGGAUGUUAUUGGCAUUGUGAAAACAAGCAAAAGGAAAAGAGAAAAUUAGAGGAAAGAAAUGAUAGAGAAAGAGUUGAAAGUAGCUUGAGAAAAAACAGGAAAAUGGAAAAACAUGUGAAGAAUGGGACGACAGAAUAGGGGAGUGGGAGAGAGAGAAAAUCGUGAGUGUUUUGGGGAGAAAAUUAGGAGAAUAUUUCUCAAUCAAUUUUUUUAAAAGAAAAGAUUAACUACCUACUAAAUCCUAUCAGAUUUUGAGUCUGACAGACAUUCUGACAGCAUGGGCGGCAACAAGUAACAGAGCAAAAAUAAUUUUUUUUGCACACAACAUGAUUCAAACACAUAUGCUAAAAUUUUACCACUAAGCCAAUAAAUUUAUUCUUAUAAUUAAUUUUACAAAAAUUAAAGAUAACCCUUACAAAUCAAGUCAGACAUAGUUUCAAAAUUAAUGGAAAAAUUUCAAAGAGAAAGAAAUCGAACAAAAGACCUAAAAACCAC
rnacentral:lncRNA from 1 species